UUGUGGUAUUUCUAGAUCCUUACCAAGGCAAUGAUGGUAUAUGCCUUCUCUCAAAGUAUGUAGUAUUUGUGGUAUAUGGCAUAGUGACAUUACCUUCUCUCUCACCCUACUCUAAUAAGGCUUGAUAUCUGGAGCUCAUAGGUGGGAGAUAAAAUAUACAUACUUACAAGACAUUUAUUGUAUAGUCAAACCAUGGAUCCAAAGAAACAAGCCAAUAAGUCAAAUCAAGAUGUGCAUGUGUGGCGAAUGAAUGGUGUAUGGUGAUGAUGGUGAUAUCAAUGGUGAAAGUCUAAUUCUACAUUUGCUCUUUGAGGGGAUACAUACCUUCCUUGCUUUUUGAAACUUUGUGAGGAGAAUGAGAUGCUCUUUAUUUUCUUUUUCUUUCCUCUCAGGUUGGUAUCUUGUACCUCUAAUUGUACUGUCAGACACUUGUCUAUUUUUACCUCUCGUCUCAAUCUUUUUCUUUCUUUCGAGGUUCUGGGCACUUGCCCCUUUUUAUUUCCUCGUAUCUUUCUUUUUUUAGAGCACUCAUCUCAUGAGAUAAUAUAGCAAGUGGUAGUGACCAAGAUAACUUGAGCAUUUAUUUCACAAGGAAAAACAGAAAUAUUUUUGGCUAUUCUCUCCAAGAUUACGAGUAGAAUAUUUUUGGGUGGUUCUGGAGAUGGAAAUGGGUGGAUAUAUGUGGAUGGUACUUCCGGAGUAGAAGUAGCAUAUGUGAGUGAACGUGCAAGUGAAUCUUGAUUUAACCACAUGACAGCCUCCUAAGGAUCUACACAGCUUGACCACACUCAAUGCUCAUAAGCAGUAAAUAGUAAAUGUGUGGCUCAAAGUCUAGCAAGCAUGUAUAUAUGGCUGUGGUAGGAAUUUAAACUCUCAUCAUACAGGAACUCAUCAUGUGCUAUUUUAAAGAUUUUAAAAGAUAAAAUUCUCCAGAAUUUCUAGCAUCUCUAGGAACACAUAAACAACAGCCCAACCUUCCCAUAUCAUAUCUGUUAACAACUUAGACUUCAGAUCAAGUUUUCAUCCCACAAGUUUAGGUUUAGAGCAAGCUUUAAAUUAUAACAGUUAUAUCUAAACUAGUGAGAGAACUUCAAAUUUGCAAAUUAGACAGAGCAACUAUUCAUCAUAUCCAUGCUAGAGUUUUAUUUAGAUAUAGUUUAGCAUAGCCACUUUAUUUUUUUAUUAAAAACACUAAGCAAAAGACAUAUAUUUAUAUAGGCACAAAACCUUUAUUUGGUUUUUUCAUAGUUAUGUAUAUUUAUAUUCUAAUAUAGUAUAAGUAUAAAGAUAGAUAGAUAGAAAUACUUAUCAGGAUAAAUGAGGGUGGUCUCCUCCAAGCUAAAUUUUGACGUAAUUUCUCUUGAUGUAGCUAGCAGGUGGCAGAGGUGUAUUUGAAAGUCGGCAGUAUCCUGACAGCGAUUAGAAUGUCCUCCGUCUGCUAGUCUUCUUGAUUCUUAAAUUCUGUGGAGCUCAAAUAGACAACAAAGCUUGUGGAACUGAUUAAGUGUUAGCAUAAAUAAAUAUCUAGCCUUUAUCAUGUUGAGCCUCCUUAAUAAAUGUUACUCCCUAUUUUUAUAUUUUCGUUUUAUAAAGUAGAAAAGAAAUAUUUAUUUUAUUUUUAUGCCGCCACAGUGAAUGUACUUAUGGGUUUUAUGCCACUCGUAUACUCACAUGGGGCUUACUGUUUUUUAACAUUUUUAUUUUCUUUUUAGGAUAGUAUGAACAUGAUUAACUAGAUGAACUAUUUUAAAUAAUUGAAAAGGAAAGAAUAACUACCAAGUUUACCUCUUGGCAAGGCGUUCGGUGUUUUCACGGGACUCUCAGUUUUCUUCAGUUGUCCUGGGAUUCGUUGGAUGGCGGAGUCGGUACUUCUGGCGGCGCCUCUUCUUCAUGUAUAGUUAUCUUCUCUCUCCACACCUGACUCGGUGCUUCGGUCUCCUCAGGAUAAUUCUGUUUAAACUGUACGUCUUCUGACCUUACCACUUUUCCUUCAUAGUCUGCCCAUCCGUCCUUGAUGAUUUGCCUCCUCUGGCUGCGGUUGCAUCGUUUCCUGACCUGCUUAGAGUCUUCAACGAUAUAGUUAGGGUCAGUAAAAUAGCGGCGUACCUUCUCUGAGGGGAAGUGCAUAUGGACUUCUCCAGUUCCUGAUUGCUUUAACAGUGCUGAGGAACGGUCUUCAAAGGAUGAUGGGUGGAUCGUAUUCGUCUUCUCCCAUGUCAAUAACCUGAAAGUCUGUGUAGACAAAACGAUCGUCUAUUUUGAUAGGGACAUCAGUUACUAUACCUUUAACCUCUCGAAAUAUCUGAUAUGCCAUCUGGAGCAGAAUGUAUGUUGGUCUUAGGGGCAUGGUUCCGAACAAGAGGCGAUAGGUGACUGCGGCCAUUAUGUUGACGCCCGAUCCGGUGUCGCAAAACGUCUUGUAGAAGUUGUAUCCAUUUAUGGAGCAAUAGAUGCUUGGCAUUCCUGGGUCGUCCUUCUUGGUCUGAAAUGGUGACUUAAGUUGAUGAUCUUGACCUCCUUGAACUGCAGUGACCAUCUUAGCUGACUCGGUCCACACUUGCUUGUUCCUGUUCCUCCUGUUGGUCCUCUUCCUUGGUUCAUGUCGAGAUUGCUCUGGGAUUUGUGUAGUCUUGUUCUUGAAGAAAAAUGUCUCCUUUCUCCCUUUGAUGUAGAAACUGAUCUUGGCAGCACUAGCGUAGAUGACAGCUCCCGAGGUGUUUAAGA
rnacentral:lncRNA from 1 species